rnacentral:rRNA from 1 species
AACGAACGCUGGCGGCGUGGAUAAGACAUGCAAGUCGAACGGGACAACAUCUGUAGCAAUACAGGUGUUGUUUAGUGGCGAACGGGUGCGUAACACGUGGGCAAUCUGCCGAGAAGUGGGGGAUAGCUCGCCGAAAGGCGAAUUAAUACCGCAUAUGAUCAGUGAAGACAUCUUCACGACAUCAAAGCCGGGGCAACCUGGCGCUUUUUGAGGAGCCCGCGGCCUAUCAGCUAGUUGGUAAGGUAAUGGCUUACCAAGGCAACGAUCUGUAGCCGGCCUGAGAGGGCGGUCGGCCACACUGACACUGAAUAACGGGUCAGACUCCUACGGGAGGCAGCAGUCGGGAAUUUUGGGCAAUGGGCGCAAGCCUGACCCAGCAACGCCGCGUGAAGGAUGAAGUAUUUC